GUACCAGACUCCUACGGGAGGCAGCAGUGAGGAAUAUUGGUCAAUGGCCGGAAGGCUGAACCAGCCAUGCCGCGUGAAGGUCAGUGCCCUAUGGGCGUUAAACUUCUUUUGUGCGGGAGCAAUAAUGGUCACGUGUGGCCAGACGAGAGUACCGUACGAAUAAGCAUCGGCUAACUCCGUGCCAGCAGCCGCGGUAAUACGGGGGAUGCAAGCGUUAUCCGGAUUUAUUGGGUUUAAAGGGUGCGUAGGCUGUGAGGUAAGUCAGCGGUGAAAUGCCCCCGCUCAACGGGGUGAAGUGCCAUUGAUACUGCCUUGCUGGAAUGCGGAUGCCGUGGGAGGAAUGUGUGGUGUAGCGGUGAAAUGCAUAGAUAUCACGCAGAACUCCGAUUGCGAAGGCAGCUUACUAAACUAUAACUGACACUGAAGCACGAAAGCGUGGGGAUCAAACAGGAUUAGAUACCCCCGUAU
rnacentral:rRNA from 1 species